CCUACGGGGGGCAGCAGUGGGGAAUAUUGCACAAUGGGCGCAAGCCUGAUGCAGCAACGCCGCGUGAGCGAAGAAGGUCUUCGGAUCGUAAAGCUCUGUCCUUGAGGAAGAAGGUAGUGACGGUACUCAAGGAGGCAGCCCCUGCUAACUACGUGCCAGCCGCCGCGGUAAUACGUAGGGGGCAAGUGUUAUCUGGUAUUAUUGGGCGUAAGAAGUACGUAGGUGGUGUUGUAAGCGCGGGGUGAAAGGCAGUGGCGUAACCGUUGUACGCUUUGAGAACUGCAAGACUUGAGUGAAGGAGAGGAAAGCGGAAUUCCUAGUGUAGCGGUGAAAUGCGUAGAUAUUAGGAGGAACACCAGUGGCGAAGGCGGCUUUCUGGACUGUAACUGACACUGAGGUACGAAAGCGUGGGGAGCAAACAGGAUUAGAUACCCUUGUAGUC
rnacentral:rRNA from 1 species